GACGGUUUCCUCCCUCAAGUGGCUUGGCUAUAAGUGCAAAGUUUGUUUAGGGGUCUGGCACAAAUCCUGCCUUGCAAAAUUGGCAAAUCAGAAUUGUCACCAGUCAACACAGAAAGAAGAAAUUUCUGAAUAUUCAGGGGAGGAUGGAUUGCCACAUUCAGUUCUGGAUCAAAUAUCAAGCGAUGAUGAUGGCAACCACAGCAUAUCAGAAGAAGAAUAUGUGCCAGAUUCAGAGUCAUAUGAUGAAGAUUCAGAUAAAGACAUCUCAUUAUUGCCAAGCACAUCAAAAGGUCUGCUAUGCCAAGAUGACAUCUCCAAAGCGCAUGAACAAUCAGAUUCAACAAAUUUAAUCCACAACUUGACAAAAGACAAGCCAGAAGAUAAAAGUGAGCUUUGCGAAACUGAAUCAGAAAAAAUGACUUUAAGUAAAAGAAAUUA